GACGAACGCUGGCGGCGUGCUUAACACAUGCAAGUCGAACGGAAAGGCCCUGCUUUUGUGGGGUGCUCGAGUGGCGAACGGGUGAGUAACACGUGAGUAACCUGCCCUUGACUUUGGGAUAACUUCAGGAAACUGGGGCUAAUACCGGAUAGGAGCUCCUGCUGCAUGGUGGGGGUUGGAAAGUUUCGGCGGUUGGGGAUGGACUCGCGGCUUAUCAGCUUGUUGGUGGGGUAGUGGCUUACCAAGGCUUUGACGGGUAGCCGGCCUGAGAGGGUGACCGGCCACAUUGGGACUGAGAUACGGCCCAGACGCCUACGGGAGGCAGCAGUGGGGAAUAUUGCACAAUGGGCGGAAGCCUGAUGCAGCAACGCCGCGUGCGGGAUGAAGGCCUUCGGGUUGUAAACCGCUUUCGCCUGUGACGAAGCGUGAGUGACGGUAAUGGGUAAAGAAGCACCGGCUAACUACGUG
rnacentral:rRNA from 1 species